rnacentral:rRNA from 1 species
GACGAACGCUGGCGGCGUGCCUAAUACAUGCAAGUUGAGCGCUGAAGGUUGGUACUUGUACCAACUGGAUGAGCAGCGAACGGGUGAGUAACGCGUGGGGAAUCUGCCUUUGAGCGGGGGACAACAUUUGGAAACGAAUGCUAAUACCGCAUAAAAACUUUAAACACAAGUUUUAAGUUUGAAAGUUGCAAUUGCAUCACUCAAAGAUGAUCCCGCGUUGUAUUAGCUAGUUGGUGAGGUAAAGGCUCACCAAGGCGAUGAUACAUAGCCGACCUGAGAGGGUGAUCGGCCACAUUGGGACUGAGACACGGCCCAAACUCCUACGGGAGGCAGCAGUAGGGAAUCUUCGGCAAUGGACGAAAGUCUGACCGAGCAACGCCGCGUGAGUGAAGAAGGUUUUCGGAUCGUAAAACUCUGUUGGUAGAGAAGAACGUUGGUGAGAGUGGAAAGCUCAUCAAGUGACGGUAACUACCCAGAAAGGGACGGCUAACUACGUG